rnacentral:rRNA from 1 species
GAUGAACGCUAGCGGCAGGCUUAACACAUGCAAGUCGAGGGGUAUUGGUUUUCGGACCAAGAGACCGGCGCACGGGUGCGUAACGCGUAUGCAAUCUACCUUUUGCAGAGGGAUAGCCCAGAGAAAUUUGGAUUAAUACCUCAUAGUAUAGUACUUUGGCAUCAAGGAACUAUUAAAGUCACAACGGCAAAAGAUGAGCAUGCGUCCCAUUAGCUAGUUGGUAAGGUAACGGCUUACCAAGGCUACGAUGGGUAGGGGUCCUGAGAGGGAGAUCCCCCACACUGGUACUGAGACACGGACCAGACUCCUACGGGAGGCAGCAGUGAGGAAUAUUGGACAAUGGGCGCAAGCCUGAUCCAGCCAUGCCGCGUGCAGGAUGACGGUCCUAUGGAUUGUAAACUGCUUUUAUACAGGAAGGAAACACUCCGACGUGUCGGAGCUUGACGGUACUGUAAGAAUAAGGAUCGGCUAAACUCCGUGCCAGCAGCCGCGGUAAAG